rnacentral:rRNA from 1 species
UACGUAGGGUGCGAGCGUUGUCCGGAAUUAUUGGGCGUAAAGGGCUCGUGGGCGGUCUGUCGCGUCGGUAGUGAAAACUCAGGGCUUAACCCUGAGCCUGCUUCCGAUACGGGCAGACUAGAGGUAUGCAGGGGAGAAUGGAAUUCCUGGUGUAGCGGUGAAAUGCGCAGAUAUCAGGAGGAACACCAGUGGCGAAGGCGGUUCUCUGGGCAUUACCUGACGCUGAGGAGCGAAAGCGUGGGGAGCAAACAGG